GUUAACGAAUCCGACUAGGAACCAUGAGGUUGAGGGUUCAGUCCCUGCCCUUGCUCAGUGGGUUAACGAUCCGGCGUUGCCGUGAGCUGUGGUGUAGGUUGCAGACGCGGCUCGGAUUCUGAGUUGCUGUGGCUCUGGCGUGGGCCGGUGGCUACAGUUCCGAUUCGACCCCUAGCCUGGGAACCUCCAUAUGCCAUAGAAGCGGCCCAAAGAAAUAGCAAAAAGACAAAAAAAUUAAAAAAUUAUAUAUACAUUUAAUGAUUUUUUUUUAACCUAUUUUCACAUUUCAUAUAAAUGUGCCAAGGCACUUAAAUGGAGAAAUGAAAGUGCUUUCAAAGAUGGUACUGGAACAAUUGGAUGUCCUAUGUAAAAAACAAACUUCAACCACUUAUAUAUAUAUCAUUUACAAAUAUUAAUUGAAAAUAGUAAUGUCCUUUGGAAAAAGAAAACUGAAAAACUGUUUAUAGCCUCAGACUUGUUGGUGUACUUCAUUAUGAAAGAAAAUGACUUCAGAUGGAAAUUCAUCAAUUUGUAAUACAUAUUUUUAAUAAAUCAAAAUACAUGUAGAUUUUAAGGCAGUCACUAAAAGGCCAGUUUUGAAGAAUAUAAAUUAUCAACCACAAAAUAAUAAACUAAAAUGUAGUAGAAGGCAAAAACUGACUAUAUUAAAACUUCUUAGAAAACACAUGAUAAGUUAUUUUCAAAGGAAACUAUAAAACUAAUUUCCUUAAAUGGAAUAGGGUAACUGCUUCCCUUCAAAUAAAAGGGAAAAAUGUUGAUUGGAUUUAAAACAUGAACCUAUUAAUAUGUUUAUUAUAGACAUAAAAAUAGUAGAAAGUUUAAAAUUAAAAGUAUGGAAGAGAUAUACCAUGCUAACAUUAAUUAAAUACAAAUGGUGUAGCCAGAUUAAGAUACUGAUGGUUCUAUUAGAUCAUGUUAUGUUACAACAACAAACUCUAAACCUCAGUGGGUUGCCUGCCAAAAGUGUAUUCCUUGUGCUUUCUAGGUGAAUCUCAAAGACCCAUAUCAAAAAGAGAGUCUGGACACAGCUUAAAUUGUCAAUUCAAAGCCUCAGCUCAGAUUGCAAUUUACUAGCCAGAAUUAUCCCAACUACAAUGGGAACUGGGAAAUGGGGUAUCCCAAAUAUAUGAGUCACUAAUAACUAAUACAUGGACACAAGGAAUGCAAACUGUAUCAUUCCUUAUUUAAAAAGUUCAAAAACAGACAAAAUAUAUAGUUAUAAAAUCAGUGUAGUGGGUGCUUUUGUGUUGAAGAAAGGGCUACAUGUGUUUCCACAUUGUGGUAAGUUAUUGAGUUUUACUUUGAUUGUUUUUGUUCCUUUUAUGUAUGUUAUAUUUCAGUAGAACUAUUAAAAGGAAAUAAUGAAAAACACCAAUGGUUCAGACUCACUGGGAAGGGAGAAUGGAAAAAAAGAGUUUUAGCAAAAGUAAAAGACUUGAUUUUGAAGAGGAGACAUUUUUCUUCUCUACCAUUUAAUAACAUUCUCUUUGGAAUGUAAAUAUCUAUAUUUAGCAGGAAUCUUUUUAGUCCCAUAUAACAGAAAUUCAACUGCAACUAGCUGAAUCACAAUGUGAAUUUUUGGUCUCACUAACAAAUCUAGAGAUUGCUCUGCAUUUCAUUUCUGUGAGAUGUUAGGAGCUCCAAUUCUUCUGUUAGCACUUUGUUGUUCAUUUCUGUCUCUCAGCCUUCACUGUGUAUGUGUUUCCUUUAUAACCCCCUACAGCAGAAAAGAUACAUUUUGGAAGAAUCAGAGAUAAGUGGUCUUUAUGGCACCUAUAUUCAAAGGAGAAAGUUAAUCUAUCCCAGAGCUUAUACAGAUUCCCUAAAAAGUACCCAUGUGCUCAACGUACCUGAAACACAUGUCUUAGAGAAGAAUGUGUUUCUCUAAUUAAAAGGAGAGAGGUAUACCCAAUUACAAUUCCCACAUAACCACCACUGUAACCUGAUUCUUAUUUGAUAAACCAAGCUUCUUGAAAGAUUUCAUGGUUCCUUCUGUCAAUAUGCCUUUAUCACCAGUUCUGUCCUCACCUCAGGUGCUCUGACUUGCUCCUCAUGAUGUAUGUCCUCUUAGGUACCUCACUGUCAAAACUCCUGGUAUAUGAAUUCAGAGGCACUUUAUUGUUUACUGUAUAAGUUUGAGUCUUCUACCUUUGUUUUUCUAAAUAAAAAUUAUUUCUUUUGCUUUCCUGGCUAUUUGUUCCCAUUUAGCCUCAUGAGUUUGUAGUCACUUUUCAGCUCUAUAGAUCCUGCCUUUGGUUAAAAGCAAAUGUUCAACACCCUCAGGAUUAAAUCACAUUUGCUUUCCUUGAACCCUAAUCAAGCAGACCCUUGUGUCUGCAAUUACUUAUCACUUGGUAUCAAUCAUAUUAUUCCAAUUUGUUCUUAAAAUAUAGAUCAGGUAUAUUCUUCUGAGUCAAGCUCAGCAAAGAACUUCUGGAGCAUUUUGAUAUGACCCUAAUAUAACAUACGUAUCACUACUUUUUUGUCUCUUUUAGUUGCACAAAAAUUACCUUAGCCUAGGUUCUCUCCAUUUCUGUGUCAGGACCCUGGUGAAGAGUAGGUACUCUGUAGCUGUAGCAAGAUGGGAAGGUGGGAAAUUAAGAGUGAACUUCUGCUUGACAGACCCAAUUUCCUCUGUGAAAUAGGGAGCUCAGUGAUCCAUUGAUAGAAAUGUCUACAGUGAUGGGGUGGAGUGUUUGACCAGAGUUAGGACUUUUGAAGUGUUGAUAAGGAACAAAAUUUAUCCCUAAGAGACUCAGUGGACUCCUCUAGAGCUUCUAAUUCCCAGAUGCUAAUAAAUCUCAUAAAGGUGUGACCUCCUUCACUGAUGCUCACUUUUCUAAACGGACAGGACAAGGCAGAGAACUGGGUUGAUUAGAGACAGUGCCGAGUAGAGGGUGGGAUAAGAUAAAGAACAAUGCAGUCAGGAUGUUCUGAAAAGAGUCACUCUAGGGUAGCAGAUUUAGAGUUGGAUUGCUUAGAGAGAAAAACUAAAAUGGUGAAAGACAGAAAGAAAGGAGGGUAAAGACUGGAGAUAUUAAUGAAGUCAUAGAUGUAAGGAAAGAAAAAACUGGGUUUUUCCCUUUCAUUUACCAUUACAUUUUUUGGAAAAAUAAAGAUAUAUACUUUUCCAUUUGCCAUUUUCAAUUUGUGUUUAUAAAUUAAUACUGAAUUUUUCACUUGCCACUGUACUGAUUGUGUUGGCCGAGGGUUACCUAGAACUACAAGUUGAUAAAUCCAAAGGUCUUUCAAAAUUUUUCAUCACUCUCGCUACAGCAAAUAUCAGUAUUACUUCUUCCUUUGAAAGUUUUCUCUAUUCAUGCUUGAACCAGUUCACUAGAACUGGUUACAUUCCAGUUUCAAAGAAGCAUCACAUGACUAGUACUAGCCAAUCAGCAGAAUUCUAUCUUGUCAUAGAAGUUACUCCAGGGAAGAUAAUUUGUGUCAAGUUCACAGAAAUAUAUGAAUUUUAGGCAUUGCUCUGGACUUAUUUUAAAGAACUCUUUCCAGUGUGUCUGGGACAGAGCUACUUGUAGGGGUUUACAAAUAAGCCAAAUUUAUUAAACUUAUUAAAAAUACAGCAUGGAAUUCCCGUCGUGGCUCAGUGUUUAACAAAUCUGACUAGGAACCAUGAGGUUGUGGGCUCGAUCCCCGGCCUCACUCAGUGAGUUAAGGAUUCAGCGUUGCCAUGAGUUGUGGUGUAGGUCGCAGAUGUGGCUCGGAUCCAGCAUUGCUGUGGCUCUGGCGUAGGGCGGCAGCUAUAGCUCCAAUUGGACCCCUAGCCUGGGAACCUCCAUAUGCCGCAGGUGCAGCACUAGAAAAGACAAAAAAAUAAAUAAGUAAAUAAAAAAUAAAACAUUAAAAAAAUAAAAAUACAGCAGAGAGUUGUGUUAGAAACAUCAUAAUGAUGUUGUUUGAACGCUAACAUCAAAGGCUGCUAUUUGGACCAUAUAGUUAUGUGAGCCAAAUAUCUCAUUAGAAAUUUAAACUAGCUUAUGUGGAUGGAUCUCUUGUUACUUUCCACAGAGGGUAGUUAAGAUAUAGACAAUCUUAAAAAAUCACAGAUUUCAUGUUUCUCAAGUUUUCUCUUUUACACAUUUCUUAUAUGAAAACUACCAAGAACAAUUUACAUUAUUAAAUUUACAUUAUUAAUCACCCCAGUUCUUUCAGAAUUUUAAUUUUCACAUGUAUUCACACAAAUCUUCCAAUUUUGUACAGAAUGAAUAAUACAUUUUAGUUUGAAAACCAAGUUCGUCUCUUAUUUUUAAUUAAUUAAUCCAUUCACAAUUUUCAUCUCAUCUUUUACAAUAACGCUGUAGGAUUGCAAAAUAGAAUGUUUCCUGCUUUUCUUUUAUAAGUGGUAUUUCCUAGAAUAUAAAUGCUCUUUCUAUUUGGUACCAUCUCCUCUUUCAAGUAUUCGGUAAACAUUUAAUUCCCUGUAACAACAUUUUCCUUCCAUCUAAUUCUACCCAAUCCUUAGAUCGUCUUUAAAUAUUAUUGUCUUCAGAUUCCACAUGUCAGUGAAAGCAUUUGAUGUGGAAUCUGAAAAAAGGACAGACGGAACGUCUUUGCAGAACAGAUGCUGACUCACAGACAUUGAAAAACUUAGGGUCUCCGGAGGAGACGGUUUGGGGGGUGGGGGGAUGUGCUUGGGCUGUGGGAUGGAAAUCCUGUGAAAUCAGAUUGUUAUGAUCAUUAUACAACUACAGAUGUGAUAAAUUCAUUUGAGUAAUAAAAAAAUAAAAAAAAUUGUUAUCUUCAUAGCAAUUUUUUAUGAGAAGCUAAAAUAUGAGUAAUUUUAAGAUUAAUUAAAAACUCAUUGGACUUUGUUCAUUUUGGGGGAAAAUUUUAUUAUAAUGUUGGCAUUUUUCUUUCUUAUCUUCCUGGAAUGUUGAUACCUCUUGAGUACACUGUUUUUUCUUCUUAAUCUGUUGUUCGUUUGCACAUCAGUUAUAUUUAUUAAAACUUUCAUUGCAAGUAGAAUCCUUAACAGGUAAAGUGGAUUUCUUAAAACGUAUUUGGAUGAAUUUACUCAAUGGUUAUAAUUAAGGUGAUUUUAUUAGAUUGCUUUUCCUUUUUCUUACAAACAUAUUAUGCCA
rnacentral:lncRNA from 1 species